rnacentral:lncRNA from 1 species
UCUUCUUGGACUUGGAUGAUGAUGUGGCACUCUAAUAACAUAACUUGGGCCUUCAAGUUGUCUAUGAUGCUUCUAGAAUCUCCUUUGAAUCUUCUAUGCACGUUCAAACUUCCACACAUGAGGUUGAAGUAAGACAUUGCACAUUCUAGUCUAUCUUGAGCUGCCUUCAUUCAAACUGCUAUAUCUCUCUCCACAAAUAUCGAAAUCACGAACCGCCAAUUCUAUAGAACCUAGACACUCAGGGCUUUCUCUGCAUAUGUAGCUCGUUGUCUAAUUUGAUCUGAGCUGCUCUCAGUGAUUCGGUGAAGUUGGCUAAUCUGUAGAGACUGACUGCCAUAAUCCUGGGAUUUCUACGCCUCUUUCAAUCCUUCCUGCUCCAAUUACUUCUCUUUGCUCUUUGAACCUGAAAAACGACAAACUAAGUAAAAUUGAACUAAAUUACUUGAAAGUAUAAUACAAAUCUAAGGUAUAAAAAGGUAUAAAAACAUAGCAUAUAAUGGAUACAUCACCAAGGUGGGUUAAAGGCGGGUUAAGGCGUGCCAAGACUGGUCAAGACGGGUCAAGGCGGUCGAAAGCGGGCCAAGGCAGGUCUAGCUAAGCGGCCCUAGGAAUCCCCUUUGCGGGUCUAGGAGGGUUAAGGCAGCUCUAGGCGGGUCUAUGAGGGUUAAGGCGGCCUAACGCCGUUCAAGGCGGGUGAAGGCGGAUCUUGGCGGUCGAAAGCGGAACAAGGGGGCCUAAGGCAAUCCAAGGCGGCCCAAGGUAGGUUAAGGCGCCCCAUUGGCCGCCCCUUGGCUGCCCUAGUUGGGCCUAGAAGAGACGAGGAGGGUCAUGACGACCCCGAGGUGAGUCAUGGCGGCUUCUUGAUGGCCCUAGAUUGGCGUAGGAGGUUCAUGGCGGCUUCUUGGUGGCCCUAGGUGGGUCUAGGCGGCCCAAGGCAGUUUAAGGCGGCCCAUGGCAGCUCAAGGCAGCCUAUGGCGGCCCAAAGCGGGUUAAGACGGGCCAAGACGGGUCAAGGUGGCCGAAGGGGGGUCAUGGCGAGUAAAGGCAGGUCAAGGCGGGUCAAGGCAGGUCAAGGUGGCCCCUUGGGGAUGUAUGCAGCCCCUUGGCGGCCCUAGGCGGGUCAUGACGGUUUUUGAGGAGGUCAAAACAGCCCUAGGCGUGUAAAGGCAGCCCCUUGGCGGGUUAAGAGGUCCCCUUGGUGUCCCUAAGUGAGUUAUGGCGGCCCCCUUGGCUACCCUAGAAGGGCCGAGGAUGGUCAAGGUGGGUUAAGAGGGGUCAAGGCGGGUUAAGGUGGUUCAAGGCGGGUUAAAGCGGUCUAGGGCGGGUUAAGGCGGCCCAAGGCGGGUCAAGGCGGCCCUAGGCAGCCAUAGGUAGCCCCUUGACGGGUCUAGGAGGGUCAAGAUGGCCUAACGCGGUUCAAGGCGGGUCAAGGCGGCCUAAGGCUAGACAAGUUGCCACCUUGGCCGCAGCUUGGCUGCCCUAGGUGGGCAUAGAAGAGCUGAAGUGGGUCAUGGUGACCCCUUGGUGAGUCAUGGUGGUUUCUUGGUGGCCCUAGGAGGGUUAAGGCGGCCCAAGGCGGGUAAAGGCGGGUUAAAGCGGCCCAUGGCAGGCUAAGGCAAGUCAAGGCGGGUUAAGGCGGGCCAAGGCAGGUCAAGGCGGCCUAACGCGGUUCAUGGCNNNNNNNNNNNNNNNNNNNNACUAAGGCGGGUCAAGGCUCCCCCUUGGCCGCCCCUUGGCUGCCCUAGGUGGGGGUUAGAAAAGUCAAGGAGGGUCAUGGCUACCCCUUGGCUUGUCAUGGCGGCUUCUUGGUGGCCUUAGGUGGGUCUAGGAGGGUCAAGGCAGCCUAAGGCGGGUCGAAGUGGGUCAAGGUGGGUCAAGGCGGGCUAAGACAGGUCAAGGCGGGUCAUAACGAGUCAUGGCGGCUUCUUGGAGGGUCAAGGCGGCCCUAGGCACCCCUUUGGCAGGCCUACGAGGGUCAAGGUGGCCCAACACGGUUCAAGGCGGGUCAAGGCGGCCCAAGGCGGUCUAUGGCGAGUCAUGGCGGCUUCAUGGUGGCCCUAGGCGAGUCUAGGAGGGUCAAGGCGGCCCAAAGAGGUUCAAAGCGGGCAAAGACGGCCUAAGGCGGGUCAAGGCGGCCCAUGGUGGCCUAAGGCGGGUCAAGGCGGGCUAAGUCUGGUCUAGGCUGCCGAAGACGGGCCAAAGCGGGUCAAGGUGGCCCCUUGGCAGACGUAGGCAGCCCCUUGGUGGGUUAAGACGUCCCUAGGCGUGUAAAGACAACCCCUUGGUGGGUUAAGACAUCCCUUUGGCGGCUUUAGGCGUGUCAAGGCGACCCCCUUGGUGGCCCUAGGAAUGUGAAUGCGGCCUCUUGGCGGCCCUAGGUGGGUCAUGGCGCCCCCUUGGCUACUCUAGGUGGGCCUAGAAGGGCCAAGGAGGGUCAAGGCGAUAGAGCCUAGGAGGGUCAUGGCGACGCCUUUGCAAGUCAUGGCGGCUUCUUGGUGGCACUAGGCAGCCCAAGGCAGUUCAAGGCAGGCCAAAGAGAGUCAAGGCGGGUCAAAACGGUUCAAGGCGGAUCAAGACGGGUCAAAACGGGCCAAGACGGGUCAAGGCGGGCUAAGGAGGGUCAAGGUGGGCUAAGUCGGGCCAAGGCGAUCCUAUGCGGCCCUAGACGGGCCUAGGAGGGUCAUGGUGACCCCUUGGCGUGUCAUGGCGGCUUUUUGGUGGCCUUAGGUGGGCUUAGGAGGGUCAAGGAGGUUCAAGGCUGUAACGCCCCGAUUUGCACCUCUUCAAAUCAAGCACAUUACAGUGCCGCGCAUUCAUAGAACCCAAGCUAGGAUCCUUUACUCAAGUUCUAAGAACCCGCAAGGCAAAGGAAAAAUUUAAAAUUUAUAAAAAUGUUAGCAGAAAUGUUUAUUUAAGAUAAGGUGAAAAUAUAACACGUUUAGAUAUCUUUCAAAUCAAACAAGCCCUCUCUAAAACAAAAAUCAAUAUCAGUCCGGUUCAAGAUCAACGAUUUGAAAAGUUUGCAAGAUGAAUAGUUUCUCAAAUAUACACAUACUCGAUAAGGCGGCCCUAGGUGGGUUUAGAAGGGUCAAGGCGGGCUAAGGAGGGCCAAGGCGGUUCUAGGCGGCCCUAGGAGGGUCAUGGUGACCCCUUGGCGUGUCAUGGCGGCUUCUUGGUGGCCCUAGGUGGGUUUAGGAGGGUCAAGGCGGUUCAAGGCUGUCAUGGCGGCCCAAAGCAGGUCAAGGCGGGCUAAGGCGGGUCAAGGUGGCCAAUGUGGGCCUAAGGUGGGUCAAGUCGGCCCAUGGCGGCCCAAAGCAGGUCAAGGCGGGCUAAGACGGGUCAAGCGGCCCAAGGUAGGACAAGGCAGGUCAAGGCUGGAUAGUCUACGACAGUCAAGGUGGGUCAAGACAGUUCAAGACGGGUUAAGGUGGGCCAAGGCGGGUCAAGGCCGCCCAAGGAAGGCCAAGGCGGGUUAAAGGCGGGACAAGGUGGGUUAAGGUGGCCCUAGGCAGCCCCUUGGCGGGUCAAGGCGGUAGAAGGCGGGUCAAGGUGGCCUUAGGCAGCCCCUUGGUGGGUCUAGGAGGGUCAAGGCGGCCCAACACGGUUCAAGACUGGUCAAGGCAGAUCAAGACGGCCCAAGGUGGGUCUAGGCGGCCCAAGGCGGGUCAAGGCAGCCCAUGGCCGCUCAAGGCGGGUCAAGGCAGCCCAUGGCGGCCCAAAGCGGGUCAAGACGGGCUAAGACGGGUCAAGGCGGCCCAUGGCGGCACAUCGCGGGUCAAGGCGGUCAAAGGCAGGUCAAGUCGGGUCAAGGUGGAUCCAGGUGNNNNNNNNNNNNNNNNNNNNNNNNNNNNNNNNNNNNNNNNNNNNNNNNNNNNNNNNNNNNNNNNNNNNNNNNNNNNNNNNNNNNNNNNNNNNNNNNNNNNNNNNNNNNNNNNNNNNNNNNNNNNNNNNNNNNNNNNNNNNNNNNNNNNNNNNNNNNNNNNNNNNNNNNNNNNNNNNNNNNNNNNNNNNNNNNNNNNNNNNNNNNNNNNNNNNNNNNNNNNNNNNNNNNNNNNNNNNGGUGGCUUCUUGGUGGCACUAGGCGGUUCAAGGCGGGCCAAGGCAGGUCAAGGGCGGUCCAAGGUGGGCGAAGGCGUUCCAAGGCGGGUCAAGGUGGCCCAAGGCGGUCCAAGGCAAGUCAAGGCGGGCCAAAGCGGGCCAAAGCGGGUCAAGGUAGGUCAAGGCGGGUGAAAGCGGGCCAAGGCAGGUCAAGGCGGUCCAAGACGAGCCAAGGCGGUCCUAGGUGGGUCAAGGCGGCCAAAGCGGUCAAAGGCGGGUUAAGACGGGCCAAGUCGGGUCAAGGUGGCCCUUUCGCAGACGUACGCAGCCCCUUAGCGGCCCUAGGCGGGUCAUGGAGGUCCCUAGGGAGGCCAAAAUAGCCCUAGGCAUGUAAAGACAGCCUCUUGGCGGGUCAAGACGUCCCCUUGGCGGCCCUAGGCGUGUCAUAGCUGCCCCCUUGGCGGCCUUAGGAAUGUUAAGGCGGCCUCUUGGCGGCCCUACACGGGUCAAGGCAUGUACAGGCAGCCCCUUAGCUGCCCUCGGUGGGCCGAGGAGGGUCAAGGCGGCCAAUCAUGGGUCAAGGCGGGUUAAGGCGGGCCAAGAGGCCAAGACGGGCCUAGGAGGGUCAUGGCGGCUUCUUGGUGGCACUAGGCGGACCAAGGCUAUUCUAGGCGGGUUCAGGGGGACCAAAACCAGCCAUGGCAGGUCAAGGCGGUCCAAGGCGGGUCAAGGUGAAUCAAGGUAGGUCAAGGCGGAUCAAGGCGGAUCAAAGCGGCCCAAGACGGGCCAAGGUGGGUCAAGGUGGCCUUAGACGGGUCAAUAUAGCCCCAUGACGGCUGUAAGUAGCCCUUUGGCGGCCCUAAGCAGGUCAAAGCGGGUCUAUGGCGGGUAAAGGCUCCCCCAAGGCGGCCUAAGACGGGUAAAGGCUCCCUCUUGGCCGCCCUUUAGCUACCCUAGGUGGGCCUAGAAGAGCCGAGGAGGGUCAUGACGACCCCUUGGGGAGUCAUGGCGGCUUCUUGGUGGCCUUAGACGGGCCUAGGAGGGUCAUGACAACCCCUUGGCGAGUCAUGACGGCUUCUUGGUGGCCCUAAGUGGGUCUAAGAGGGUCAAGGCGGCCCAAGGCGAUUCAAGCCGGGUAAAGGAGGGUCAAGACGGCCCAUGGCGGCCUAAGGCGGGUCAAAACUCCCCUUGGCCGCCCCUUGACUGCCCUAGGUGGGCCUAGAAGAGCCGAGGAGGGUCAUGGCGACCCUUAGCGACGUCGAUGGCGGCUUCUUGGUGGCCCUUGACAGGCCUAGGAGUGUCAUGGCGACCCCUUGGCGAGUCAUGGCGGCUUCUUGGUGGCCCUAGGUGGGUCUAGGAGGGUCAAGGUAGGUAAAGGCUGGUCAAGGUGGCCUGUGGCAGCCCAUGGUGGGUCAAGGCGGGUCAAAGCGCCCCUUUGGCCGCCCCUUGGCUGCCCUAGAUGGGCUUAGAAGAGCCGAGGAGGGUCAUGGCCAGUCAUGGCGGUUUCUUGGUGGCCCUAGGUGGGUCUAGGAGGGUUAAGGCGGCCCAAGGAGGGUCAAGGCGGUCCAAGGCUAGUCAAGGCGGCCUAACGCGGUUCAACGCGGGUAAAGUCAAACCAAGGCGGGUCAAGGCGGCCCAUGGCAGCCUAAGGCGGGUCAAGGCAGCCCAAAACGGUUUAAGGCGGCCCAAGGCUGGUUAAGGCGGCCCUAGGAGGGUCAAGGCGGGUUAAGGAGGCCCCAAGAAAGUGAAACUAGUUAGAAACUCAUGUGCUAUAGCAAGUGGUUUUCGCUCGAAUUUGGUGAAAUUUGAAAUGAGGGGCAAUACCUCAUUUUCUUUUAAAAUUAAGGUUCCCGGUGUCAAUAUGAAAAGAAUUGAAGAAAAUGGAAUCUUGGAAAGUCAAUCAGUUCUAAUUAAAACAACAAUUUCAACAGCUUUAUAAAACACGACACGUGUGAGUUUAUUUAGGCCCGAUCGCAAGUAAAUUGAUAAAAGACAAGGAUUUUUGAAGCUAGAAUGGAUUACUAUAUGUUAAGAGGUGUCUGUAAGCACACCUAAACGGAAAAAGCCAGAGGCCCAAUAAAAGUGAAACUUGCCAAAAACUUGUGUAGCAAAGUGUUGUGGCUCGAAUUGGGGGAAACUUGAAAUGAGAGGCAAUACCUUAUUUUCUUUUGAAACUAAGGUUUCCGAUGUCAAUAUGAGAAGAAUUGAAGAGAACAUAAUCUUAAAAAGUCACUCAAUACUAAUUAAAACAACAAUUUCAAUUGUUUUACAAAAUACAACACUUGUGAGUUAUUUAGGCCCGAUCGCAAGUAAAUUGAUAAAAGACAAGGAUUUUUGAAACUAGAAUGGUUCAAUAUAUGUUAAGAGGUGUCUAUAAGCACACCUGAGUGAAAAAAGCCGGAGUCCCAAAAAAAGUGAAACUGGCUAGACUCUCAUGUGCUGUAGCAAGUGGUUAUGGCUCGAAUUGGGUGAAAUUUGAAAUGAGGGGCAAUACCUCAUUUUCUUUUAAAAUUAAGGUUCCCGGUGUCGAUAUGAAAAGAAUUGAAGAAAACAGAAUCUUGAAAAGUCACUCAAUUCAAAUUAAAACUGCAAUUUCAAUAGCUUUACAAAACACGACACGCGUGAGUUUAUUUAAGCUCGAUCGCGAGUAAAUUGAUAAAAGACAGAUUUUUAAAGCUAGAAUGGUUUACUAUAUGUUAGGAGGAUUCUGUAACCACACCUGAACAGAAAAAGCCGGAGGCCCAAAAAAAGUGAAACUGGGCAGAAACUCGUGUGCUAUAGCAAGAGAUUUUGGCUUAAAUUAUGUAAAACUUGAAAUGAGGGACAAUACCUCAUUUUCUUUUGAAACUAAGGUUUCCAAUGUCAAUAUGAGAAAAAACUGGAGGCCCAAAAAAGUGAAACUUGCUAAAAACUCAUGUAGCAAGGGGUAAAGGCGACCCAAGUCAGUUCAAGGCGGCCUAAGGCUGGUCAAGGAGGCCCAUGGCGGGCCUACGAGGGUCAAGGCGGGCCCAUGGCUGGUCAAGGCUUCCCAUGACAGGCCACAGUGGUUUAAGGCGGCCAUAACCGGGUCAAGGCGGCUCCUUGGUAGCCCUAGAUAGGUCAAGGCGGCCUCUUAGCGGCCCUAGCAAGGCGGCCUUAGACCGGUGAAGGCGGCUCCUUGGCGGCCCUAGACAGGUCAAGGCGGCCCAUGGCGGGUCAAUGCGGCCCUAGGAGGGUCAAGGCGGCCAAAGGCGGUUCAAAGCGAGUCAAGGCGGCCCCCUGGUGGCUCUAAGCGGGUUAAGGUGGCCCCUUAGCGGCCCUAGGCAUCCCUUUGGCGGCCCUACGCGGGUCAUGGCAGCCCCUUGGCUGCCCUAAGAGGGCCUCGAAGGGUCAAGGCGGGUUAAGGCGGCCCUAGACGGGUGAAGGCCGCUCCUUGACGGCCUUAGACGGGUCAUGGCGGCCCCCUGGUGGACCUAGGUGGGCCUAGGAGGUUCAAGGCAGCACCUUAGCGGCCCAAGGCGGUCGCUUAAUGGCCCUAGGCAGGUCAAGGCGGCCUCUUGGCGGUCCCUUACCCCUAGGCGGGCCUAGCAGGGCCGAGGAGGGUCAAGGCGGCCCAAUGUCGGCCAAGAUGGGUCAAGGCGGCCCGAUGGAGGGUCAUGGCCCCUUGGCGACUUUAGGCGGGUGAAGGCAGUCCUAGGCGGGUAAUGGCGACCCCUUGGCUGCCCUAGGAGGGUUAAGGCAGCCCGUUGGCGGGUCAAGGCAGCCCCUUAGCGGCCUUAAAGGGGUGAAGGCGGCCUGUUGGCGACCUCAGGAGGGUUAAGGCGGCUCAAAAACGGGAAACUAGCUAGAAACUCGUGUGUCAUAUCAAGUGAUUUUCGCUCGAAAUAGGUGAAAUUUGAAAUGAGGAGCAAUAACUUAUUUUCUUUUAAAAUUAAGGUUCUCGGUGUCAAUAUAAAAAGAAUUGAAGAAAAUAAAAUCUUGGAAAGUCACUCAAUUCUAAUUAAAACAACAAUUUCAACAGCUUUAUAAAACAUGGUAUGCGUGAGUUUAUUUAUGCCCGGUCGUGAGUAAAUUGAUAAAAGCCCGAUCGUGAGUAAAUUGAUAAAAGAAACGGAUUUUUGAAGCUAGAAUGGAUCACUAUAUGUUACGAGGUGUCUGUAAGCACAUCCGAAUGGAAAAAGCCGGAGGCCCUAAAAAAGUGAAACUUGCCGGGAACUUGUGAGCUAUAACAAGGGGUUUUGGCUCGAAUUUGAGUGAAACUUGAAAUGAGGGACAAUACCUUCUUUUCAUUUGAAACUAAGGUUUCCAAUGUGAAUAUGAGAAGAAUUGAAGAGAAUAUAAUUUUAAAAAGUCACUCAAUACCAAAAAACAGCAAUUUAAACAGAUUUACAAAAUAUGGCACGCGUGAGUUUAUUUAGGCCCGAUCGCGAGUAAAUUGAUAAAACACACGGAUUUUUGAAGCUAGAAUCGAUUACUAUAUGUUAGGAGGUGUCUGUAAGCACACACGAACGGAAAAAGCCAGAGGCCUAAAAAAAGUGAAACUUGCCGGGAACUUGUGUGUUAUAGCUAGGGGUUUUAGCUCAAAUUUGGUGAAACUUGAAAAGAGGGACAAUACCUUAUUUUCAAUUGAAACUAAGGUUUCCAAUGUGAAUAUGAGAAGAAUUGAAGAGAAUAUAAUUUUAAAAAGGCACUCUAUACCAAUUAAAACUGUAAUUUCAACAGCUUUACAAAACACGACAAGCUUGAGUUUCUUUAGGCCCGAUCGCGAGUAAAUUGAUAAAAGACAUGGAUUUUUGAAGCUAGAAAGGAUCACUAUAUGUUAGGAGGUGUCUGUAAUGACACCCGAAUGGAAAAAGCCGGAGGCCCAAAAAAGUGAAACUUGAUAGAAACUCGUGUGCUAUAACAAGGGGUUUUGCUCGAAUUGGGCGAAACUUGAAAUGAGGGACAAUACCUUAUUUUCAUUUGAAACUAAGGUUUCCAAUGUGAAUAUGAGAAGAAUUGAAGAGAAUAUAAUUUUAAAAAGUCACUCAAUACCAACUAAAACAACAAUUUCAACAGCUUUACAAAUACGGCAUGCAUGAGUUUAUUCAGGCCCCUUGGCAGACGUAAGAGGGUCAAGGGGGCCGCUAUGCAGGUUAAGGCGGCCCCUUGGCAGUCCUAGGCGGGUCAUGGUGGCCCUUUUAAUGCCCUUGGAGGGUCAAGGUGGCCCCUCGGUGGCCCUAGAUGGGUCAAGGCGGCCCCUUGGUGGCCCUAGAUGGGUCAAGGCGUCCUCUUGGCAGCCCUAUAUGGGUCAUGGCGGUCUUAGGAGGGUCAAGGCGUGCCAAGGUGGGUCACGGCGAUCUUAGGCUGGUCAAGGCGGCCCCGUGGUGGCCCUAAGCGGGUCAUGGCGGCCCCUUGGCAGCCCUAGGAGGGUUAAGGCGGACCAAAGUGGGUCAAGGCGGGCCUAGGAGGGUCAAGGCGGGCCAAGGUGUGUUAAGGCUGCCCUAGGCGGGUCAUGAGGACCCCUUUGUGACACAACCCACCCCGAAUUUCACCCUGAAACCCAGAGUAAGUCGUGCGGGGACCACCUCCAAGAAAAAUUUACCGAAAAAUCGGCAUAACCUCCCUUGAAAAAUGGACAACCCUUCCUAAUAAUACCUGCAAACACUUCUGAAAAUUUAAAUCCAACCUUAAACUCCUGGAGCCU